rnacentral:snRNA from 1 species
GUGUGAUGGCGAUUUGGCUAUGACAUCUGUCACCACAUUGAUGGCCAAGGUUGAUUCAACUGAUCUGGCUGGCAAGGUAGGUUUCCCCUCCAUUCCUCAUCACUCUAUAUAUGUCCCUUCUAAAGCUGCAUGCUCAGUUUGGUCAAAGAAGAUGAUAACCCUUCCCUGAAUAGAGGAGAACUUCUCUUCAAUUAUGGAUAUGCAAGUAGCUGUACUCCCUGCUAGAACAAGCUCUCAAGAUAUUUUCAUGCACAAUAAUCAGAUAAAGUGACACUUUGAUCAGAU